ensembl:lncRNA
GAGAAGUCUGAAGUUGCAGUUCAUAGACAGCAUGAGGAGAGCAAUGCACUGGAUUAGGUACCAUGUUGGAACAAGCAUGAAAUGAGCCCUUACUCAGUGGAGUUGGAGGACAGAUAGGAGAUAUUCUCAUGGCUUUAUUUCUUCCCAGGUCAACAUUGUGACUCCUGGAGAGGAUUUCGAUUGACACAGGUGUGAAAGCAGCAGUGGGUCCUUCUGUGCAAGCACUGCAGGUGCGGAUUCUGUGCUGAGUUGUGACCCCACAGCGCCCUGUCAACUGCGGUGUGACUACAUCAUGUGUGAG